ACUGUAAUCUUUAUCAGAUGACUGUCGGAUUUUAUUUCUCACUCUACGAGUGUCAGAAUGGUAUAAAACUUUAAAUCUAACCUCAUAAAAAUAUUUCUGACAUAUCCUCAUGUUUUCAUAAUUUUCUGACACUGCAUUUUCUGCUAAUUUAUCUGCCCCGUUUCUCACAGAAAAUUCUAAAUCUUCUAUUUUCGCUCCGAUUUUAGCACAGGUCAUUUUCAAUCUAUAUUUCACUUCUCUAAAUCCAAUAAAAUAGUAUUUCAUACUAUUUUUAUUUAUUUUCACCUUUUUACUUAAAUCCGGUAUAUUACAUUCCACCGCAACCUCACCGGAACCAUUUAAAUGUACACCGUAACUUCAUAGUUUUAGAAGUCCGGUACCUUACACUACCGGACCUACACGUUCCAAAAUCUCAUACGGUCCAAUGAAACGGGAGCUCAACUUACCCCGAACCCCGAAUCUCUUGAUCCCUCU
rnacentral:lncRNA from 1 species